rnacentral:tmRNA from 1 species
GGGGAUGAAAGGUUUCGACAAGGACAAGUUCUUUAAAAUUGCAGGUCAGCCUGAAACAAGCUGUCAACUGUUUCAAAAAGCUAACUGGCAACGAUUACACGGUUGCUCCUAGCUAUCAAUACGCCUACGCGGCCGCUGCUUAAACGCGUUUCCGCGUCAGCCUGAUAGCCAGGCAUUCAAUCGGUUCUUCCCUGAUGGAGCCGGUUGGGUGACAACCCAGUCAGGGCGUCAGUUUCGAGUCGCUGAUCAGACUCGAGCGGAGAAGAAUGAUCAAAAUCGCGGUGGUUAGGAGUGGGGCUGUUACUCCCACCGCGAAAUCAAGCAGCCUAAACCUGUAGAAAUUUUAAAAAUUUUUUCUUGGACGUCGGUUCAAUUCCGGCCAUCUCCACAC